ACUGCGAAUUUAACAUGUGUGGCCUUGAGAAGAUAAAGCGGUGCAGUGAGAGUACUGGGGCCAGCUGGCUUACAGUCUGUGCCCAGACUCCUACCUGGUGUUCCCUCCCGUAUGGGGGAAGAAAAUGCACACGAGCAGUUGGCAGCAUUGCUGGCGAUUCCUUGUCCUGCGUCAUGGCUGUCACAUGGACACAGCACAGGGGAGAUAAGAUGUGCAAUGAGAUAAGCCUCAUCCCAACAAGGUCUGCCUUUGCCCUGGCAUGUGCUGGGAUGACACCAACCAUUGGGGUGGUGCGGGUCCUCCCUCAAGGAAAGGGUACACGAUAUGCAUGUGAUGAGAAAGAGCAGGGAAUCGUGACUGGGGCAGUCUGUAUCUCCUGGAACAACGCUGCUGGGUCUUUGGGACCGUCGGCAUCUCAGGGCAGAAGAGAUCGUUCACUACCUGCCUCAUCCGCACAGCUGCUUCUUUCCCAGGAGACUGCCUGAGCCAGGUGUGAAGAAAGAGAGGUCAUUGCUCUUGAGAGAACAUCGGUGACCAGAAGCAUAUGCAAUGACCAAGAUGGUCUAUGAAUGCACCUGUAUGUCCCUAAAAUACUCUGAAUUUUAAAAUCACGUUAAAAUCACGUUUGAAUUUUUAAAAUCACCUCAUAAAAUCACAUUUGUCUGGGUUUGGUUUUUUUGGUUGGUUUUGUUUGGUUGUUUUUUUUUUUGGAUACGGACUACAGACUGACUCUGUGGAACCACUUAAAACACCCAAGGCCCUCUCCAGACCAUUUCCAGAUGAAAAAAUAUUGGAUGAAGAAAGCUCCAGUGAAUAAAUUAUGAUCUUCUUA